GUGCCAGCCGCCGCGGUAAUACAGAGGGUGCGAGCGUUAAUCGGAAUGACUGGGCGUAAAGGGCGCGUAGGUGGAUGUGUGUGUUGGAUGUGAAAGCCCCGGGCUUAACCUGGGAAUUGCAUACAAAACUGCACAUCUAGAGUAGAGCAGAGGUAAGUGGAAUUUCCGGAGUAGCGGUGAAAUGCGUAGAUACCGGAAGGAACACCAGUGGCGAAGGCGACUUACUGGGCUCAAACUGACACUGAGGCGCGAAAGCGUGGGGAGCAAACAGGAUUAGAUACCCGUGUAGUCC
rnacentral:rRNA from 1 species